AUGAGUUUAAUGUAUGCACAUUCUGUGCAUAAUUGUACUUGGGGGAACACAUUUGACAAGAAACCAAUAGUAAUAUAUCAGUGUCUGUCUAGGAGCAUCUCAGUUGUUACCACGCAGCAACUCCUGAGCUGUUGGAUCUUCACAGUCACUGUCAACACAGAUUUUAUUUCUGUCCUCCAAAAGCAUGAGUCUCUGCCACUGGAAAUUCGAAGAAAAGAAAGUGAAAAAAACCAACAUAAGCUGCAACACGUCAUAGGUAACUCAGAAAAGAGGAUGCUGAGAACUACUAAACCUGAUGUCUGCUGUGUAAAGAAUGAAAUAGAGCAGGAUAAAAAGCCUGAUAUGAUCUCAUGACCCAAGAACUGCCAUCACUUCAUAAACCAAUGCUAUACAUCAGAGAAUAAUGGUCUCAGAAGACAGUGUCAUACUUGCAUGAGAAUAUCACUCUUUAUAUAUGCUGUGAAAGGGUGGGUGUCUCCUUUUCACAAAUGGUAGCAAGAGAUCUUGCCAGAAAAUGCUGAGGCCACCUUUUCUGAGAAGGCAUCUGACACAAACCAAAACAAAUGCUGAUUACUGAGCCCUGUGAGUCUGCUGUCCAGGAUCAAAGGCUCUUACUAGCCUUGACUAGUCUCACCUGGGGCUUUCACCCACACCUUGCCCAUGGCCAACCAACUGCUCACGCAGGACCUCCAUUGGUGCUUUAAACACCGAACAACCCAAAGAUCUCUCCACAGGAAAGAGAGGAGACCUCUGAAGCUCACUAGCUCUCCAGGCAUCAGCAAUGAAUGGCAGAAAUCCUCCUGCUAGCAGUAGUAAUUGGUCAUUUUACUGCAAAUCAAAACUGUGCUAGGUUGCCAAUUUUCUUUAAAGUGGAUGUGGCUGGAUGCGCUGGUAUGGAGAGUGUCCUUUGAACUGUUCAAACUGAUCCAAGGUAAUUUUCUAAAUCAUCUCAUUGUCCACAGACAGCAGAUAAAAGAGUUGAUUUUGUCCGAGAGCUAGCUUCAUUCUGCUGAGUAUAUAUAAAUACGUGAUGAAUGAUGUACAUAGCGGUGCUUCGUUGAAAAUAAAACAAGUAAUUCUGAAGUGAAGGAAAACA
rnacentral:lncRNA from 1 species